GAUGAACGCUGGCGGCGUGCCUAAUACAUGCAAGUCGAGCGAAUGGAUUAAGAGCUUGCUCUUAUGAAGUUAGCGGCGGACGGGUGAGUAACACGUGGGUAACCUGCCCAUAAGACUGGGAUAACUCCGGGAAACCGGGGCUAAUACCGGAUAACAUUUUGAACCGCAUGGUUCGACAUUGAAAGGCGGCUUCGGCUGUCACUUAUGGAUGGACCCGCGUCGCAUUAGCUAGUUGGUGAGGUAACGGCUCACCAAGCCAACGAUGCGUAGCCGACCUGAGAGGGUGAUCGGCCACACUGGGACUGAGACACGGCCCAGACUCCUACGGGAGGCAGCAGUAGGGAAUCUUCCGCAAUGUACGAAAGUCUGACGGAGCAACGCCGCGUGAGUGAUGAAGGCUUUCGGGUCGUAAAACUCUGUUGUUAGGGAAGAACAAGUGCUAGUUGAAUAAGCUGGCACCUUGACGGUACCUAACCAGAAAGCCACGGCUAACUACGUGCCAGCCGCCGCAGUAA
rnacentral:rRNA from 1 species